rnacentral:rRNA from 1 species
AGCAGCCGCGGUAAUUCCAGCUCCAAUAGCGUAUAUUAAAGUUGUUGCAGUUAAAAAGCUCGUAGUUGAAUUUCAGGCCUGGCUGGGCGGUCCGCCUUUUGGGUGAGUACUGCCUGUGGUCGGGUCCUACCUUCUGGCGAAGCGUCGUGGCCUUAACCGGCCGUGGCGGGGAACCAGGACUUUUACUGUGAAAAAUUAGAGUGUUCAAAGCAGGCAGUCGCUUGGAUACAUUAGCAUGGAAUAAUGGGAUAGGACAGUGGUUCUAUUUGUUGGUUUCUAGGACCGUUGUAAUGAUUAAUAGGGAUAGUUGGGGGCAUUAGUAUUCAAUUGUCAGAGGUGAAAUUCUUGGAUUUAUUGAAGACUAACUACUGCGAAAGCAUUUGCCAAGGAUGUUUUCAUUAAUCAAGAACGAAAGUUAGGGGAUCGAAGACGAUCAGAUACCGUCGUAGUCUUAACCAUAAACUAUGCCGACUAGGAAUCGGGCGAUGUUGACAAAAUGACGCGCUCGGCA